AAUAAAAAGUGGGGUGUGUUUUCUGAUUUUCCUACUCUCUCUAGGGGAAAAUCCCAAGUGUUUCUGAGUAGGUUGGCAGUGGUGCAACAGAAAUUAUCCUCUCCUGUACCACGGCAGUCCUGUCACAUCUCUCCUCCCUGCAUCCUCACUUGCUUUCGUAAAAUCUGUAUUUCCCAAAGACAGAGGUCAGAGGCCAGGCUGCAUCACGCCCCUGCCUACAUCCCACAAGUCUCCUCGCCGCUGAGAGUAAAGGGAAACUCUUCACCAUGGAGCUGACAGAAUGUCUUAGUUUUUCAUUGCUGCCUUGUUUGAUUCCUUUUUAUCUACUAAACUUUCUCUCCCUUCUAUAUUCAUAUUGUGUUAAAUCCCAAAAGGAAAUAGACAAAAUGUGCUGCCAUUUUUGCUGGUAGGAGGCUCUCAGGUUGUGAGAUGUGAGGAGAAGGCUCAAAUACCCGGCUUGUGUACCUAGGAGGGGAUUGCAGCUGCUGGAUGCCAUGUGUGUGGACCCCAAGCUCCUCGCUUGGCUUGGGCAUUGGGGACCUCAGAGACUUGCUGAAGAUAAUACCGAGGCUGUGAAAGGCACAACCCAAUCCACAGGUGCAGGUGGCCUCUGGACAAAGGUUAGCUGGGCAGCAAGCAGGUGAAAUGGGGAAAGUGAGUUUGGUGGUAAGAUGAGCAAGAGAUUGUCUUUGGCUCAUACUGACGCCAUUCCUUCACUCCUCAUUCACUCGUUCACUCGUUUGUUCAUUCAAAUGGACACCAAGGCUUUCAAGGGGGUGCUGUGAGGUGAGAGGAUGAAUGAGGCAGGACUCACGAAGGUUCUCUGUGCACCCCUCUCUAAGGUGAGUCCAGCCAUCUUGUCACACCAGGGGCUGGAGAAGGCACACUGGGUUUUAAAUCCUGGAUAGGCCACCGUGGCUCAGAGACUUAUGUGGCUUCCGCCCCUGUCAAGUGGGUGUUGUAAUGGUGCCACGUCCUGUGCUGUCAUGGGUUCCUGUGUGAAGUGUGGCCGCAGUGCCGGCUCUUGGCACCCGCUGUUUUUGUCAUCGCUCCUGUGGCUGUUUUAAAAACCAGACUGGAAUGCGCAUGGAGUGUAAAUGUAGAAUUACAGGCAGCCAGCAGGGUUCAAACUCGAAGUACCCUGAGCAUCCUGGGGUGCAGAGCCCCAAAGGGAGGCUCCAGCUGGAGGGCUGGGGUGGUUAAUUUUAUGUGUCAAUUUAGUUAAGACAUGGUUUCCAGAUAUUUGCUCAAACACCAGUCCAGAUGUUGCUGAGAAGCGAUUGUUUAGAUACGACUAGCAUUUAAAUCAGCAGCCUUUGAGAAAAGCCGAUUCGCCUCCUAAUGUGGGUGGCCCUCAUGCAAAAGACUGAGGUCCCCUGAGGAGGGAGUUGGGUCUCCACACUGCCUUCUGCCUUUGACCUUGAGCUGCAGCAUCACCUGCAGCUGGCCCUGGGUCUCCAGCCUGCUCCUGCCCUGCAGAGGUUGGACUUGCCAGCCCCCAUAACUGCUCGACAGUUCCUUAAAAUUCCUUAAAAUUGGACUUGCCAGCCCCCACAACUGCGUGACAAUCCCUUAAAAUCUCUCUUUCUCUCUCCAUAUAUUAAUAAGUAUGUUAUAUAUUACAAUAUUACAUAUGUAUACGUAUGCGUGUGUGUAUAUAUAAUAUAUAUCUCUUUCUUAUUGCUUCUGUUUCUGUAGAGAGUUCUGACUAAUCCAAAGGCCUCAGGCAACUCCCCAAGUGAAAUUCUCUCACUUCCUCCAGAAGCACCCACUUUCUCUCCUCAUAUAUGUGGGUGCUGAGCAGAGGUCUCUGGCAUGAAGAGUAGUCGAGGAUUUAUAACCCGCCUCUGGCUCGGUUGAAAAAUAAAAAUAAGUUCUGUAGAAAGCACAUUCACGAAUUCGACAUGACUCAGACGCUGAAGACUCCGAGCCUUGGCCAGCAGGCACACAUUUGAACUGUCUCAGCAAACAGCAGCUCCUCUCGGCCAUCCGCCAGCUGCAGCAGCUGCUGAAGGGCCAGGAGACACGCUUCGCCGAGGGCAUCCGCCACAUGAAGAGCCGGCUGGCCGCGCUGCAGAACUCUGUGAGCAGGGUGGUCCCAGAUGCCCUUCCAGUUUCCUGCCCGGCUCUGAACACCCCCGCAGACGGCAGAAAGUUUGGAAGCAAGUACUUAGUGGAUCACGAAGUCCAUUUUACCUGCAACCCUGGGUUCCGGCUGGUCGGGCCCAGCAGCGUGGUGUGUCUUCCCAAUGGCACCUGGACAGGGGAGCAGCCCCACUGUAGAGGUAUCAGUGAAUGCUCCAGCCAGCCUUGUCAAAAUGGUGGUACAUGUGUAGAAGGAGUCAACCAGUACAGAUGCAUUUGUCCUCCAGGAAGGACUGGGAACCGCUGUCAGCAUCAGGCCCAGACUGGUAUGUAGCCACCAUGGGGUUAGGUGAGGACAUCCUGCUGUGGGGAGAGGAGGACCCUAGGCAUAGGUCCCCAAAUGCAGACAUGUAGGGAGCUCAGUCCCCCACUCAAAGAUGUAGCUUUUCCUCUCUGUUUCACAUCCACCGAUCCCUCUGGUUUUCUAAGGUGGUCACUUGACAGAGCUUAGCUCUUUGAUGCAACCAGAGUUUUGAUCCUUCUUAUGGUAGAAAACACAAGCGCAAGAACUGACUCCCAAGGUAAAAAUCCCCUAGAUUGGGAAUGUGGCCCAAGAAGUUUCACUGUUGCCACCUUUGCUUGGUCAGCAUUUCUUACAGCAGAACCACCUUUUCUUUCCAGUGUUCCCAUUACAUCUUGCAAAAUUAGCAGCUAUUGAUGCAGGCCCAAGUAUUUUGAGAGCUGGAUAACUAUACAUUUGACUGGUUUUGAGAUUAUUAUUCACAUCUUGAGUCUCAACAUAUCUCGACCCAGAGAGUCUAAGAAGUCACGUGGUGCCUGGUUUUGCAUAUGGCAAGAAAAUCCAGUGAUAAGGAAUCUGUGGAGGAUGGACAGGGGGUUCCCGCACCAUGAUGCAACCAAGAUUUCAUUCAGCCCCAAAGAUAUCCUAUUCCUUAGCCAGAAAAGUCUGGUGUGUUAUGCCUGUUUGUCUUUAUUUCUGUAUGAAAUAUCUGUGGGGGGAAGGGACAUUGGGGCUAGUGCAGUCAGUGUCCAGUGGAUAAGAGCUUUAUCAAUACUUAUGAUCCUGGCAUUGGACCCAGCCCAAGGUCAGGUUUAAAUAGUGCCCCAAGAGAUUUGCUGCUUAAUAUGCCUUGAUUCAGUUCAGCUGAGUCAGCUGGCUGGGCACUUUCUCAGAAUGAGGCUGUCCUCCCGAGCUCAGAGGCCCCUUACAGCUCCUAUCCCUGGGAUUGCUUUCUAUGGAAACUGAGGCCAGAGACAGGGCUUUCUUGGAGACCUCACUGCCUCUCCCCUUGUUUACAAACAAGAGGGAAAAAGAAAUGGGUUCCCUUCUGCCCUAAAUAUGCCAGUCCUGGUCACUGAAUGUUCUAAACCCCACUCUUUAGGGUUUCCUCCCACUGUGGGAUUUUUUUUUUUUUUUGAGAUGGAGUCUCACUCUGUUGCCCAGGCUGGAGUGUGCAGUGGCACCAUCUCAGCUCACUGCAACCUCCGCCUCCUGAGUUCAAGUGAUUCUCCUGCCUCAGCCUCCCGAGUAGCUGGGAUUACAGGUGUCUGUCACCACUCCUGCCUAAUAUUUGUAUUUUUAGUAGAAACGGGGUUUCACCAUGUUGGCCAGGCUGGUCUCCAACUCCUGACCUCAAGUGAUCUGCCUGCCUUGCCCUCCAAAAGUGCUGGGAUUACAGGUGUGAGCCACCAUGCCCGCCCAAGGAUCUUUAGACAAUUGUUGCUCAGGUCCAGGGGGGCCUCUUAUAAAGUGUCCCCAUGGCCAGAAUCUUCCCCAGGAAUGGGAAGGAGGGGAAGCAAGCAGGCAUAUCCGAAGCCAGCUCCUAUCCUCAUAGUCUCCAUGAACAGCCAUCACGCAUCUGGGCUCUUGCUCACCUUGUCCCUCAGCCUGACACCUUCCUUCCCAUCAGCUGGCCCAUGCCUUUCCAGUUCCCUGGAGGAGCAUCCCUCCAAUUCCUUUUUUAAAAAUCCAUUCACCCUAUUUUUUAUGAUGAUAAAAUAUAUAUAACAUAAAAUUUACCAGUUUCAUCCUUUUUAACUGUACAGCUCAGUGGCAUCAAUCACAUUCACAUUGUUGUGCGACUAUCACCACCAUCCAGCUCCAGAAUUCUUUUUGUCUUGCAAAACUGAGCUUCUGUACCCAUAACAGGACAACUCCCCAUUGCCCUCCCCACAGCCCCUGGUAAUCACCAUUCAUUCUUCUUUCUGUCUCUGUGAGUCUGACUGCUCUAGGGACCUCAUCUAAGUAGAAUCAUGCAGGAUUUGUCCACUUGUGUUUGAUUCCCAUCAAUCCUUGAAAAACUUUCAGAAAAAUAACAUUUUUUCCUGAUUAGAAAUAUAAUUUGGCCAAGCAUGAUGACUCAUGCCUGUAAUCCCAGCACUUUGGGAGGCUGAGGUGGGUGGAUCAUUUGAGGUUGGGAGUUUGAGACCAGCCUGGCCAACAUGGUAAAACCCUGUCUCUACUAACAAUACAAAAAAAAAA
rnacentral:sRNA from 1 species